GGCCACAGCCAUAUCACCCUGCAGCCCAAGACUGGUUGCCCACUGAAGCUAAGCAGGGUUGAGCCUGGUCAGUACCUGGAUGGGUGACCUCCUGUGAAAACUAGGUUGCUGUUGGAA
rnacentral:rRNA from 1 species